UAGGGAAUCUUCGGCAAUGGACGAAAGUCUGACCGAGCAACGCCGCGUGAGUGAAGAAGGUUUUCGGAUCGUAAAACUCUGUUGUUAGAGAAGAACAAGGACGUUAGUAACUGAACGUCCCCUGACGGUAUCUAACCAGAAAGCCACGGCUAACUACGUGCCAGCAGCCGCGGUAAUACGUAGGUGGCAAGCGUUGUCCGGAUUUAUUGGGCGUAAAGCGAGCGCAGGCGGUUUCUUAAGUCUGAUGUGAAAGCCCCCGGCGCAACCGGGGAGGGUCAUUGGAAACUGGGAGACUUGAGUGCAGAAGAGGAGAGUGGAAUUCCAUGGGUAGCGGGGAAAUGCGUAGAUAUAUGGAGGAACACCAGUGGCGAAGGCGGCUCUCUGGUCUGUAACUGACGCUGAGGCUCGAAAGCGUGGGGAGCAAACAGG
rnacentral:rRNA from 1 species